rnacentral:rRNA from 1 species
GACGAACGCUGGCGGCGUGCUUAACACAUGCAAGUCGAGCGGUAAGGCCCUUUCGGGGGUACACGAGCGGCGAACGGGUGAGUAACACGUGGGUGACCUGCCCUCAGCUCUGGGAUAAGCCUGGGAAACUGGGUCUAAUACUGGAUAUGACUCCACGGUGCAUGUCGUGGGGUGGAAAGCCUUGUGCGGCUGAGGAUGGGCCCGCGGCCUAUCAGCUUGUUGGUGGGGUAAAAGCCACCAAGGCGACGACGGGUAGCUGGUCUGAGAGGAUGAUCAGCCACACUGGGACUGAGACACGGCCCAGACUCCUACGGGAGGCAGCAGUGGGGAAUAUUGGACAAUGGGCGAAAGCCUGAUCCAGCAAUGCCGCGUGUGUGAAGAAGGCCUGCGGGUUAGUAAGCACUUUCAGUGGGGAAGAAAAGCUUGGUGUGAAUAGCGCCGAGUCUUG